UCCAUCGUGAGGUGGAAUCUGAAGGAAGCUUAAGGCAAAAUCUCGGUCUGAUGAACAAGAACCAGAUAAGAGGCUGAAUUGGGAUGGAUGAGUUUGCGUAACAAAACGAAGUCCAACACUACCCGAAUCC
rnacentral:misc_RNA from 1 species